rnacentral:rRNA from 1 species
AGGAUUCUCUUAGUAACGGCGAGUGAACAGAGAAUAGCCCAGCACCGAAGCCCAUCCGCGCAUGUGGACAGGGCAAUGUGGUGUUAAGUUAUUGACCUGGGAGACAGCUGUCUGCUCGAAGUCCAACUCCGAUUUUGGCUUGGAUUUGUUCCAUAGAGGGUGAAAGGCCCGUACGAGUAGACCUUACGGUAUCAAGCUGUUCCUUAGACAUCGAUAACUUGGAGUCGGAUUGCUUGAGAAUGCAGUCCAAAGUGGGUGGUAAACUCCAUCCAAGGCUAAAUACUGGCACGAGUCCGAUAGUAGACAAGUACCGCGAGGGAAAGUUGAAAAGUACUCUGAAGAGAGAGUAAAUAGUACGUGAAACCGUUUGUAAAGAAGCCGGUGGAGUCAAGCUUCUUGUUGUGGUGAUUGACUGGGAGAAUAUUUGUUUACGGGUAAUGGGCUUUUUGGCUUGGAAAUAGUCUAGUGGUUCGCCGCUACGAUUAGUCCGGGCAGAUUAAUUGUUUUGGCUCUUAUUCCCCUCUUCUCUUCAGUUAUUUAUCACAGCUGAAAUCACAGUCAAUUUGCAUAGUGAUGCGUGAUAGUCUAACUGUGUUUUAGUGGGCCUUGCGUCUACUAAUCAUGGGACGGCAGGUUGAUAUACGGUGGGUUUACCAUCAUGUGUUAUAUAAAAGCUUCGGUUUGCUGACUAUCAUGUUUCAAUGAUCAUCUUGCGGAUUGUUCUUAUUGCAGUAGUGUCCAUCCGGUAACUGCUGUUAGAACUGUGGUUU